rnacentral:rRNA from 1 species
CUGGCUCAGGAUGAACGCUAGCUACAGGCUUAACACAUGCAAGUCGAGGGGCAGCAUGGGAUUAGCUUGCUAAUCCUGAUGGCGACCGGCGCACGGGUGAGUAACGCGUAUCCAACCUUCCCCCUGCUCAGGGAUAGCCCGGUGAAAACCGGAUUAAGACCUGAUAGUUUCACUAGAUGGCAUCUGACGGUGAAUAAAGGUUUCGGCAAGGGAUGGGGAUGCGUCUGAUUAGCUUGUUGGCGGGGUAACGGCCCACCAAGGCGACGAUCAGUAGGGUUCUGAGAGGAAGGUCCCCCACAUUGGAACUGAGACACGGUCCAAACUCCUACGGGAGGCAGCAGUGAGGAAUAUUGGUCAAUGGGCGGAAGCCUGAACCAGCCAAGUAGCGUGCCAGGAUGACGGCCCUAUGGGUUGUAAACUGCUUUUGUGCGGGAAUAAAGUCAGGGACGUGUCCCUGUUUGCAUGUACCGCAAGAAUAAGGACCGGCUAAUUCCGUGCCAGCAGCCGC